AUGCUUUUAUUAAGUAAACUGAAAGCCACAAAAUAGUGUGCAGGUUUUUGAAUGUACUAGAACGUUGUUUCAGUUCUGGUGGUAAGCAAAGUCAAAAUAUAGUAGAGUCUCACUUAUCCAAACUAAACGGUCCAGCAGAGCGUUGGAUAAGCAAAUAUAUUGGAUAAUAAGGAGGGAUUAAGGAAAAGCCUAUUAAACAUCAAAUUAGGUUAUGGUUUUACAAAUUAAGCACCAAAACAUCAUGUUAUACAAUAAAUUUGACAGAAAAAGUAGUUCAAUACGCAGUAAUGUUAUGUUGUAAUUACUGUAUUUAUGAAUUUAGCAGCAAAAUAUCACGAUAUAUUGAAAACAUUGACUACAAAAAUGCAUUGGAUAAUCCAGAACCUUGGAUAAGCGAGUCUUGGAUAAGUGAGACUCUACUGUAGAUGGCUGGAGAGAGGCAAGAAAACCUCUUGAUGAUCUUCAUAGAAAUGGUGUUUGCAUACUCAUGGAUUGUGCUUGCUGCAAAAGAUUUUUAGGCUUAAGUAAGGAAAGCUGUGGCAAAGAAGCAGUGACAAUUCCCUCCCUAAAGAAAUGACACUGCCUUUGACUUUGGUCAGUCUUGAUCAUGGUGUUGUUUUACUAUCGCUGUCUGGAACCAUUCCACAGAGAGUUAGGACUUGUUGUCGACCGCGUUUUAGGGGAUCGGGCCCUUAAGGAGAGACCCGAUCCGGUCCUGAGAGAACGGACCUUGGCGAAGCCAAAAGGAGAAUUAUGAGCCGCAAUACAACCUGAAGCCGAAAUGAAGAAGGUCCGCCAAAGUUGAAGGAAAAUCCGCCAAGGAGUCUUUAUUGAGCAAUUCAGCUGAAGAGGACUCUAGUAGCGAUCAUUCGGUCUACUAGGGUACCAUACAAUCAAAAUAAAGCCAUACUUAUACAAAAUUUCAGUCUGACAACCCUUUGAAUUUCCCGCCCUGCUUCCCCGCCCAUCUGAUCGUUGAUAGGCUAGAAGGUUGAACGAGGCGGGCUUUCGUUUCCCGCCUUGCUCCGUUGGCCCAAUAGGAAGCUGCCUUUUGUCUCUACUCGGGCCAAUCAGGAAAGAGAAGGCGGGAGUUAUCGAAACAAUGAGGUGACGGGACAGGAACUAGCGGAUUAAGUCCUGCUAGACCGAUUUCUAAAGGGUGCUUAAUUUAUUAAUGGCAGCAAUCAAGGGUGUCCGGGUUUCUGUCACGUAUACAGAUUUUAGAUAUGCCUUGGGGUGUCAGAGAUGGAAGCAAAGAUGGGUGGUGAUGAGCCAUAUUGACAGGCUCUGCAGGGCACCUUCCUGAGGUGUCCUGGUUUUUCCUUUGGGUGAGAUAUGACAAGGUUUGCCUUGGGGCGAAUCACCUUUAGGUCAGCAAACUCCGAAUUCGGCGACUCAAGCCCUAUAUUGUCCAUGCAAUUUGAAUUUGAUUGGAUUUAGCGGUGGCAGAUUAUCCUUUUGUUUUUGGGAAAGGAAGCCUGGGUCAUAGGAAAUGGGAUAAGUUCUGGGGUUCAGGUUGAGUUCAAAAUAUUUCCUAUUUGAUUUCAUGAUUUGACAAUUAUAUGAAAUAAAAUGAAAAAUAAAAUAAAGUUGGAAUAUAAACCAUGCUGGGGAAAAUACAUAUUUUCCGGGGAUCCCAAAGAGUACAAAUACAUAUAGGCAGAUAGAUAGAUUUCAUGGAAAUAAGGGAGAAUCCAUAAAAGUGAGUUACAUUGCAUAAAGGGGAAUCAUGAAUGAUAUAAACAAUUGAAAAUAUUUGAUAAGAACAAAGUUCAUAACAUCUGGAGAACCCAGCAUGGAAAUUCAUAAAAGUGGAGUUUUAGCAGCAUGAUUUUACAAUUCAUGAAAGUUGUUAUCUCUUGCCUCAGGCUAAAAGGUCAAACACCUUUUGUACAGAGAGUUUUAGUAAACCACAGUAAACUCCAGUAAAAAGUCUCAAUCACCUUCUACUAUAAAUAUAUGGAAUAUAGAACAUAAAGUCUUGAUUUUUGAACUAUCUUUUACAAAGUCCUGGGGGGGGGGGUGGUCACCUCGAUCACAGACUAUUGCACUGGAUAGACUACAUCAGCUCUAGAUUAUUCAAUAUGGUUUUCUGUGGGUGAGCAGAUGGUAACUAUUAGAUGGCAUAUGUUCUGUAACAGAAACUAGAGCUGAUGUGGUCUAUCCAAUGCUAUUUUCUGAAUCAGCACCCCAAAUAACCAAACUAAAUUUAAUGUUGACCAAAAACUGAUUCAUAACCCUUUUGGUACUAAUGUUGGAGAGCGGUCCCUGGUCAAAGUGAUCCAUGGUCAAAGAAGGGCUGGGAAUCACUGGUAUAUAUCAACCUAUGAAGCAUAAUACAGCUGAUGGGGUUUGGUCCAUGAAAGAAUGGAGCCAUUGUUUUUCAUUAGAAGAAGGUGUGCUCAUCUUUUUUAAAGGAUAGUUCAUCCAAUGCACAAGGGCAAGAGCAAAUUGCUACUUCCAUUUAGCAUGUCUACAAAUUGUGGUUCCUGAACAUGUCAUUUACUAAAAUUACAUUGCUUAACAUCUCU
rnacentral:lncRNA from 1 species